UACGUAGGGUGCAAGCGUUGCCCGGAUUUAUUGGGCGUAAAGGGCGCGUAGGCGGCUCGGCACGUCCGUUGUGAAAUCGCCCGGCUCAACUGGGCGGGGUCAGCGGAUACGGUCGAGCUUGAGCAAGCUAGGGGGCAAUGGAAUUCCCGGUGUAGUGGUGGAAUGCGUAGAUAUCUGGAGGAACACCGGUGGCGAAGGCGGCAUCCUGGACCGAGAUUGACGCUGAUGCGCGAAAGCCAGGGGAGCAAACGGG
rnacentral:rRNA from 1 species